UGCAAGUCGAGCGGACAGAUGGGAGCUUGCUCCCUGAUGUUAGCGGCGGACGGGUGAGUAACACGUGGGUAACCUGCCUGUAAGACUGGGAUAACUCCGGGAAACCGGGGCUAAUACCGGAUGGUUGUCUGAACCGCAUGGUUCAGACAUAAAAGGUGGCUUCGGCUACCACUUACAGAUGGACCCGCGGCGCAUUAGCUAGUUGGUGAGGUAACGGCUCACCAAGGCGACGAUGCGUAGCCGACCUGAGAGGGUGAUCGGCCACACUGGGACUGAGACACGGCCCAGACUCCUACGGGAGGCAGCAGUAGGGAAUCUUCCGCAAUGGACGAAAGUCUGACGGAGCAACGCCGCGUGAGUGAUGAAGGUUUUCGGAUCGUAAAGCUCUGUUGUUAGGGAAGAACAAGUGCCGUUCAAAUAGGGCGGCACCUUGACGGUACCUAACCAGAAAGCCACGGCUAACUACGUGCCAGCAGCCGCGGUAAUACGUAGGUGGCAAGCGUUGUCCGGAAUUAUUGGGCGUAAAGGGCUCGCAGGCGGUUUCUUAAGUCUGAUGUGAAAGCCCCCGGCUCAACCGGGGAGGGUCAUUGGAAACUGGGGAACUUGAGUGCAGAAGAGGAGAGUGGAAUUCCACGUGUAGCGGUGAAAUGCGUAGAGAUGUGGAGGAACACCAGUGGCGAAGGCGACUCUCUGGUCUGUAACUGACGCUGAGGAGCGAAAGCGUGGGGAGCGAACAGGAUUAGAUACCCUGGUAGUCCACGCCGUAAACGAUGAGUGCUAAGUGUUAGGGGGUUUCCGCCCCUUAGUGCUGCAGCUAACGCAUUAAGCACUCCGCCUGGGGAGUACGGUCGCAA
rnacentral:rRNA from 1 species